UAGGGAAUCUUCCACAAUGGACGCAAGUCCGAUGGAGCAACGCCGCGUGAGUGAAGAAGGGUUUCGGCUCGUAAAGCUCUGUUGUUAAAGAAGAACGUGGGUAAGAGUAACUGUUUACCCAGUGACGGUAUUUAACCAGAAAGCCACGGCUAACCACGUGCCAG
rnacentral:rRNA from 1 species